rnacentral:rRNA from 1 species
GACAGAGGGUGCAAACGUUGCUCGGAAUCACUGGGCGUAAAGGGCGUGUAGGCGGGACAGUAAGUCGGGCGUGAAAUCCCUGGGCUCAACCCAGGAACUGCACUCGAAACUACUAUUCUUGAGUGUCGGAGAGGAAAGCGGAAUUCCUGGUGUAGAGGUGAAAUUCGUAGAUAUCAGGAGGAACACCAGUGGCGAAGGCGGCUUUCUGGACGAUAACUGACGC